UGGUGGGUAGUUUGACUGGGGCGGUCUCCUCCUAAAGAGUAACGGAGGAGCACGAAGGUUGGCUAAUCCUGGUCGGACAUCAGGAGGUUAGUGCAAUGGCAUAAGCCAGCUUGACUGCGAGCGUGACGGCGCGAGCAGGUGCGAAAGCAGGUCAUAGUGAUCCGGUGGUUCUGAAUGGAAGGGCCAUCGCUCAACGGAUAAAAGGUACUCCGGGGAUAACAGGCUGAUACCGCCCAAGAGUUCAUAUCGACGGCGGUGUUUGGCACCUCGAUGUCGGCUCAUCACAUCCUGGGGCUGAAGUAGGUCCCAAGGGUAUGGCUGUUCGCCAUUUAAAGUGGUACGCGAGCUGGGUUUAGAACGUCGUGAGACAGUUCGGUCCCUAUCUGCCGUGGGCGCUGGAGAACUGAGGGGGGCUGCUCCUAGUACGAGAGGACCGGAGUGGACGCAUCACUGGUGUUCGGGUUGUCAUGCCAAUGGCACUGCCCGGUAGCUAAAUACGGAAGAGAU
rnacentral:rRNA from 1 species